AAGCAAUCAAAGGACCAAGCCUUGGCUGCAUGGUGUGCGGUUGUGAGCUAGGCCUGUGGCCUAUCCAGGCAUGGCUGACCAUCUAAAGGGAUGUGGACAGCUCAGGGGCAGGUGGGGGCCUGCACUCCAGGGCUCUGCUGUCGGCCGCCUGGGGGCAGCAGAGAGCAACGGAUGCCUGGCCUCUGAGUGAGAGGUGGGGUGCCCUCAGGCCUCUGAGUGAGGGGUGGGGUGUCCCCACCCUGACCCCAUGGGUGCCUGGAUGGUUCCAGGCAGCAGGGCAGGCCUGUGAGCCUCUGAAGGACUCAGAGAGCUGGGGGGGUCUAGUGGACGAAUGCAGAGCCCUGGGCCCACGAUGGGGGCAUCUCUGCUUUGACCUGACCCCCUUGGCGCAGAGGAGCCGGACAGUGCUACCCAGUGUCCAGUGGAUGCUACGGGCCCAGGGGGGCCUCUGGGGAACCUGGAUGUCACUCCACCCGUGCUGUUAAGCUCCCCGGCGUUUCCUCAGGACUACGGGAUGAGCGUUUUCCACGGAAGUGACACCUAAGAUGACUUUCACGGCUGCACCCAAUCGCACUGUUUCCACGGAAGUGACACCUAAGGUGACUUUCACGGCUGCACCCAAUUGCACUGUCACUGUGCUGGUUUGUGUCACCGCUGCUGCUAUACCCUGCCUUCUCCGGUGUCUGGAUGGACCGCGUUUCCCGGGGACUGGGUUUCCUGGAGACCAGGAGGCAUGAAUGAAAAACACGACUUUUAUUGCACAACUGGAAAACUAACCAACAUGGAGCUAAGGAAGACUGUCUUUGCUUAACUGAGCUUGACAAGAAAACUAUCAAGCCUCAGCUUUGGUUCUCGACUCCAUCGUCUGGACGGACACACUUGGCAGAAUUCCCACAUUGCUCCUCUGACACAUGGAGCGACCCACAGGCUUUCGGGUGGGAAAGGCCGAGUGGAAGACUCCAGAACAGCCUCUGGGCGUCCCUGGAACUGCAGAGCUUGGGGCCACUACCAGGGAUGUGAAGGUCAGAGUGGUGCAGCCUGCCGUAUUUCCGCUUACCUUGCCUGUUCUGCCCGUGCAGAAGAUGAGUGGGUUUGAGGGACCAACUGUGAAUCACUGUGGACCCAGUCAGAUGGUGGCUCAGUGCAGGGGCUACUUCAGGUGCGUGUUCUCCGUGUCCUCCAGUGUCUGGUGGUAUGCAGUCACUAGGCUGGAGGGCGCUUUUCCCACUGUACCUGUUGGAAAGGACCGCGAGAAGCAGUUUGCCUCCCAGCAGGGCUGGUGACACACCUUCGGUGAACUGACCAUCUGUCCCUCCGCCACUGUAUGAUCCAUGGGGCCUGUGAUCCACGGGGCUCAUGCUGGUCUCUGCACCAAGCAGGGUAGUGCACUGGCCUAGGACAUCAUGGUAACUGAUGACCUCACGCUAACCGGACUCCAGGGACUGAGCUGGAGAGAAACAACCCAGACUCCGAUAAGACCUGUGUGUGGCAGAGAGUGGACGUUGAUCUCACAGAAACUCUGUGGACAUCUUAAGGGGCCCAGUGCUCCAAAACUUGUCAGAAGCAGAAAUUAAAAUAAAAGAGGAUCUCCCUGGAGUGCCUGGCAGAUGGCAAGCCAAGCACUCAGGCAGGUGAGACUUGCCAUGCCUGCCUGAGUCCUGUGUCCAGGGUUCGGAGCUAUUUCUGUGUUUUGAAGCACUGUUGUUCCUGACAACUACGGUUCACAAAUGACUUGUGUCCAGCCUUUCUCAGAAAUCUAGCCCUGGUCACGGGGAGGCCGAUCCGGAGGAGAGACGGAGCUUGAGAAAGUGUGGGCUCUGUGCAGAAACCACCGCAACCAAGAAACUCAGCCUGUGCUUCCCUCAUCAUCAGUUUAUUCUGAAAUAGACUACUGUUGACCAUGACGGAAACUUCCUGCUACUAAAAGAAGUGACGUGUUUGUCUGAGGAGUGAAACAAAGCUGACCCAGCUGGGUGGCCUGGGGCAGUAUUGACCAUGACUGAUGACGACUCAGCUUUUCACUGUCCCAGAGCAGCAGAAUUGAGCCUUACCUGUAAGGUUUUUGCAACCACCUGAGAGGGUGGAGGAAAGGACUGCCCUGUCCCACUCCGGCCUAGCUGUUGGAGACCCAUGGCCUGCCUCACUGUUCACACAGGCAAAGCCAAGGUCCCUCCCCAGUGACCUUAGGGGACGCUCUGAAACUGGGGAGAUCCUAGAACAAACUGUAGGAGCCUGUAGGAAUGACGCAUAAUCAUACCUUAUAACAUUUAAAAUGUGAGAUAAUUAAACUCUUCAUAAUCC
ensembl:lncRNA